rnacentral:lncRNA from 1 species
UCCUUCAGGGAACCUCUCCCUUAAAAAUUUCUGCUCCAAGGAGACAUCAGUGGAGCUUCUCUUCCCUACUGAACAGUAUGUUUUGUCACUCUGGGAUCUCAGUUGGGGCCCCUCUUAGGAUCCAGUGCCCUAAAAAUUUCUGGUAUGGUGUUCAGACAGGGCUUGUCCCAACAAGGGAGGGAGACACAGAAUUGUGGGCUUAGCUUGGAAUGGAAAUAAUAAUACCCAGCACUGAUUGUGUUCUAAUUAUGCAGUAAGUAGUGUCCCAGGCAUUUUACAUUGGUAUCGUCCCGUAUAAUUCUUACUACUAUCUUCAAAGUAGCUACAUUAUCGCGAGGCCCUGUUCGACAUGAAGAAAUGGAGGUUAGAGAGCUGCCCAGGUCCCCCAGGUGGUAAGUGAUGGUGUCAGCUUUCAUCACUUCUAUGCUAUCUCAUCUCCAUCGGCAGGCUUGGGUCAAGAGUGAUGGAAUAGGGCUGAUAUUUUUUUUUCUAAAACAAGGUCCAGUUGAAAGGACCAGGCUGAUCUGAUUGCUGAGCACCCGAGUUCUGGACAGGUACAGAUCGGUGUUCACCAAGGGUCUUCCCAGUGCAUGCCCGGCCGGGGCCCCACUAUGGCAACGCAGAAGCCGACCUUGGCCAAGCUCUGGAAGAGGCAGCCCUCCCACAGGUGAGUGACUUGCCCAGGACACCCACAUAUAUAGUCUGGGGGCAGGGAAGGAUGGAACUGCACCCAGGCCCACAGCAAGCAGACUUCCUGAUGGUGAGGCCCCCACCCUCAGCCUCCAGAGGAUCUUUCUGUCCACUUGCGUGUUGUCAGAGCAGCUGCCCUGGAAGCACGGCUCUAGACAGUGACCGCACGAGCGCCGGGGCAGAACCUUCGGAACACACACAGCAGGCAUGGUGUGUCGCCAUUGGUCCUGUAGGGCAGAGAGAGGAAAAGUCGACCUUCAGGUCCUGGAAGCCCUGGUGGGACCCAGUGGCCAGCCUUGGGAGAGCACUCAGGCUGCACCGCCCCCCAGGCUUGCUCCGAUGAUCCUGACACCAACUAGCUGAGUCCCAAGUCACCUUCCUUCCGAUCCUGCAUCUGCACGCUCCCUGGGGAGAAGAACCCGGCUGUGCUCCACACCGACUGUGUGCCAUGCCCUUUGCUGAGAAUUUUCCCCACACAAUACAGUUAUACACUGGGCUCUAAGUCCUUCAGCAACACCCCUCUGUGCUGCGUGCGCUUUUGACAAUCUGGGCAGGGAGUGGGGUGAGCAGUGACUUGGAGGAGAUGGGGGAAGGUGAGCGAGAGGGAAUCUGUUAUUGAUUUGCCCAUAGAUCCCCUGGGCUCUUUACCUGGCUUGGGAAAUUCUCUUCCCCUGAGGCUGUCGAGCGAUUAAAGAGCAAGACACUUGCUUCCUCAGCUUCCCUAGCGGCCAAGUAUAGGCACGUGACCUGAGAUCAGCCAAUCAGAUGCCCCUGCUCUGGUCUUGGCGUCAGGAUGGGGGAUGGGGAACGACUCUAGGGAUGGGCAGUGGCUACAUCCUGUUUCUGGGGAACAGCUGCCUCCGUGGGGCCAGUAGCAUGGUCCAGUGUUUGGAGUCCAGUGCAGACGUCAGUGGGGAGAAGAGAGUCAUCUAGGGUUCCAGGGGGCCCUUGGGUUCUCAAGAAGCAGCUCUGGGGUGUGGGUUUGGCAGCCUUCCCCACAGUGGAGUUCUCCAGCCUACUGUUGAUUCUACAACCUACGCAGGGUCCCGUCAGAACUUCCCUUUCGUGUUUAACUCAGCUAGACUGGCUUCCUAGGUGGUGCAGUGGUAAAGAAUUCGCCUGCCAAUUCAGGAGCCGCAAGAGACAGUGGGUUCGAUCCCUGGAAUGGGAAGAUCCCCUGGAGUAGGAAAUGGCAACCCACUCCAGUAUUCGUGCCUGGAAAAUUCCAUGUACAGAGGAGCCUGGUGGGUGGGCGACAGUCCACGGGGUCUCAAAGAGUCGGACUCGACUGAGCAUGAGCACACACAGCUAGAACAGUCUUUUGUAGGUUGCAGCUACAGAGACUGACCGCAGAUAGAGGCCAGGAAGGGCAUAGGGCAUGGUUGGCUCCCAAGCCAUCCCAUGGGGACAGGAGACCUGGGAGUCUCUGCCCCUCCUGAUAGUGAUGGGGGCCCUGGCAUGCUCCCGACCUGGGUGGUCACUCAGAUCCCUGAGCAAGCAGAGGCCACUCAGCAUGGGCAGGGUGGUAAGGUUGCAGAAGCCCGUAGGGAUGCC